rnacentral:rRNA from 1 species
UACGUAGGGGGGCAAGCGUUGUCCGGAAUCAUUGGGCGUAAAGAGCGUGUAGGCGGCCCGGUAAGUCCGCCGUGAAAGUCCAGGGCUCAACCCUGGAAUGCCGGUGGAAACUGCCGGGCUGGAGUCCGGAAGAGGCGAGUGGAAUCCUGGUGUAGCGGUGAAAUGCGCAGAUAUCAGGAGGAACACCAAUGGCGAAGGCAGCUCGCUGGGACGGUACUGACGCUGAGACGCGAAAGCGUGGGGAGCAAACAGG